AUUGAACGCUGGCGGCAGGCCUAACACAUGCAAGUCGAACGAGUGGCGGACGGGUGAGUAAUGUCUGGGAAACUGCCUGAUGGAGGGGGAUAACUACUGGAAACGGUAGCUAAUACCGCAUACCAUCGGAUGUGCCCAGAUGGGAUUAGCUAGUAGGUGGGGUAAAGGCUCACCUGGGCGACGAUCCCUAGCUGGUCUGAGAGGAUGACCAGCAAUGCGGGAACGGAGACACGGGCCAGCCUCCUACGUGAGGCAGCAGUGGGGAAUAUUGCACAAUGGGCGCAAGCCUGAUGCAGCCAUGCCGCGUGUAUGAAGAAGGCUUUCGGGUUGUAAAGUACUGUCAGCGGGGAGGUGUGACCCGCAGAAGAAGCACCGGCUAACUCCGGGCCAGCAGCCGCGGUAAUUC
rnacentral:rRNA from 1 species